GACGAACGCUGGCGGCGUGCUUAACACAUGCAAGUCGAGCGGUAAGGCCCUUUCGGGGGUACGACGAGCGGCGAACGGGUGAGUAACACGUGGGUGGACCUGCCCUCCAGCGUCUGGGAUAAGCCUGGGAAACCGGGUCGUAAUACCGGAUAUGACUCCAUGACGCAUGUUGUGGGUGGAAAGCCUUGUGCGGCUGAGGAUGGGCCCGCGGCCGUAUCAGCUUGUUGGUGGGGUGAUGGCC
rnacentral:rRNA from 1 species